GUUUUCAUUCUAUAGGAGUGAAGAUACAUAAACUGUCCUAUGAUGAGCUCUGAGUAAGAAGUUGUAUUUUGAAGUGAAUUGAAUAGUUUUAAAUCAUCCAGUGAUUUAUCCACUCAAUGGACUGUACAUAAGCAGCAGCAGAAUCUAAACACUGUGAAAGCAAGAAAAUGUAAAAGGAAGGCUGGUGAAGGGAAGAGAGUAAAACAAAGACUACAGAGAGAGCGCAUCCUCUACUAAAUGAAAUGGAUGCCCUGUUGUCUGGAGACUCCAAGAAGAUGCAGAAACAGAAUGCCUUCUUUGCUUCAGCCAUUGCUACAAAGACUGCCCCUUGAGAAUCUCAGAUCCUGGAGGAAGAAAAUAUUAAUGGAGGAAAAAGAGAGGAUACUGUGUCCAACGCAUAUGGACAUAUGUGGAGAAUAUAUUAUGAAUAUGGAUCAAGUGCAUAACGUGUUGAAAGAUGGUGAUAAAUUCAAAUUCAGACUCCAUUAAACCUGAGCAGAGAAACCCAGCAGGUGGCUACACUAAUGGAAAAUCCUGGCCUUGGAAUAAUGGGAAUUGCAACCGACAGCUCGUCUACACCACAAAAAAGAUGAUGUAUUCCUAUUGACAGUGUUGCAUUUGAGUCCAGAAGGCUGAUCUGAUAGUUCAGGCUGGGCACAAGGGAGGCAGAAAGCCCCAUGGGUAUUUUUCUUGGCUACACCACUGUAAUUUUUGUCAUCUGAACCUUCUAUUACAAUUCACUGUACAAAUCUCAUAUAAGUUGGAAAGAGAGAGACAAAAAAGAAAAAAAAAAAAAAGAAAAGAAAACAACCUUCUGCAUUUGGCCUACAGGCAUACAUUUGUUCUUUUUUUCUUGUUUUAAAGGACAAAUAAAGGUUGACACACAAC
ensembl:lncRNA